GGCUCUUUCAAGGCAGAGAUGUGGCUGGUGGCAGUGUGCUGAGCAUCUUGGCAUCUUGGCAUGCCUGUAGCUCUUGUCCAGAUUUGGCUGAGAGCGUCCUUGGGGCGAUGACUGGAAGAAGCUCAAUAGUAUGGGUCAGGAUGACUACACAGUUUCCAGAGAGGGAAUACAUGGAAUAAAUGUUUGUCUUCAAACUCACCACCAAAUGGGGAAGUAGGUCUGUCCCUAAGCAUGGAAUUAUCAUGUUAUCCAGCUGAAGCCCAGCCAGACUCCAGCUAUAGUAUAUAGGCAGGACUCUUAGUGUGCAUGUCUAUGGGGACGAAAGGGAGAAAGCUCUCUGUGAACAGAUUUGAAGGCAAAAGGAGAAGAAUUUACAACUUUCGGAAGGAUGAUGCUGAGAAAAUCUUCUGAGGGGACAUUUUUGCCACAUUUGGAAAUAUGAACAUUUGGUAAAACAAAGAACAUGACUAAAAUGGCAGCUUUAUAAAUUUCCAGCUUUUCCAGGUUA